UACGUAGGGGGCAAGCGUUGUCCGGAUUUACUGGGCGUAAAGAGCGUGUAGGCGGCCAGGCAGGUCUGUUGUGAAAACUGGAGGCUUAACCUCCAGACGUCGACAGAAACCGCUUGGCUAGAGUCCGGAAGAGGAGAGUGGAAUUCCUGGUGUAGCGGUGAAAUGCGCAGAUAUCAGGAAGAACACCAAUGGCGAAAGGCAGCUCUCUGGGACGGUACUGACGCUGAGACGCGAAAGCGUGGGGGGAGCGAAACAGG
rnacentral:rRNA from 1 species